CGUGUAGGCGGCCAAACAGGUCCGUUGUGAAAACUGGAGGCUUAACCUCCAGACGUCGACGGAAACCGUAUGGCUAGAGUCCGGAAGAGGAGAGUGGAAUUCCUGGUGUAGCGGUGAAAUGCGCAGGUAUCAGGAAGAACACCUAUGGCGAAGGCAGCUCUCUGGGACGGUACUGACGCUGAGACGCGAAAGCGUGGGGAGCGAACA
rnacentral:rRNA from 1 species